rnacentral:lncRNA from 1 species
CCCGGCGGAAAUUGCAAGUGAACCCAUUGGAAGAGGUUGUGGGAGAUAGUGGAGUGUGAUGUCAUCCUAGGUCAUGGUGGGCCAUUUGGUGGGAUUAAAGAAAAAGAAAGAGAAAAGAAAAAAUGGUCCCAUCUCUCUCUCUCCUCCUUCUCUCUCCUUCCUCUCUCCCUUCCGUUGGCUUCUCCUCCAUCUUCUUUGUGCGAAAGACCAGAAAAAUUGCAGAGGAAGAAGCCGAGGCAGCCCCUCGCCGUCCGCCUCCUUCGCCGCUCGUCGCCGCCGUUUGCACCGUCAAGCUGCUCGCCGUCCGCCCGCACCACCGGCCGCGCCACCGUCGCCCUCUCUCCUCUCUUCUCCGGCUCCGGUUUCUGCUUGAAAACCCAACAGAUCUGAGGAGGUGUCGAAGCUAGCUGUAGCCCAGCCGAAUCGCCGUCGGCCCGUCGCCGAAGCUCGCCGCUACCACCGUCGUCCGCGCGAAGCCCGCGCCCGCGCGCCGCUCCGCCCGCUUUGCCCAGCUCGUCGUCCCGAGCUGCUGUUCAGCUCGCGCAAGAGCUGCCGGAGCUCGUUCGUCGCCGCCGUGCACCGCCGUUCGUCGCCACCAGCCACCGCCGUAGCUCCUCCGCCCACUCCCGACCCCAACCAGCCCCGGAUCUGCUCAUUUUCGGCCCCAACCAGCAGCGAGCAGAGAGUUGGAAAAUGGGUAUGCAGCGGACGUUUGGCUCGUUUUGGCCGCCUUCCCGAGCCCGGAUGCUCGGCCCGCUUUGAGGAAAGUCGAUCCUCGCGUCGUGCUCGUCGUUUUGGUCCGCUCGGCUCGCUAAUCCGGUGAGUUUAGCUCACUAAACCUCGCUUAGAGGGUUAAUUAUGCUUUAGGUGUGCUUAGCUUAAGUUGAUUAAGCUUAGGUGGUUAAUUUAGUUAAUUUAAUUAUGAUUUAGAUUAAGAUGUUUGUUUAAUCUAAAGUAUGUUUAAUUAAAUGCUAAGAGGGUUUAUUUAAAGUUAAGCCUUGAUGUGACACAAAAUGAUUUUUGUUUUGAAUUAUUUAAGUGCUUCGAAAUUCUGGAAAAUAUAAUAUUAUAUUAUAAUCCGAAAUUAUUAAAAUAUUAUUAUUUAUUAAAAAAAAAUCAGAAAAAUUAUUUUUGACCCCGGUUGCUCAGAAUUUCGUGCCAAUCGCUGCUGUGCAUUUAGAAUUUGAUAUUUAUGAUUGGUUGUGGUGAAUUGAAUGUGAUUUCGAUAUAUAUGGAUUCUUUAUAAAUUUCUAAGUGUGGAAAUUGAUGGGCGAUUGGCCGUGAUAUGCCACCUAUUAGAGGUCGCACCCGAUGGGGCCGUUAUAUGCCACCUAUUAGAGGUCGCGUCCAAUGGGGCCGUUAUAUGCCACCUACUAGAGGUCGCGCCCGAUGGGGCCGUGAUAUGCCACCUAUUAGAGGUCGCGCCGGAUGGGGCCGUGAUAUGCCACCUAGUAGAGGUCGCGCCCAGUGGGGCCGUGAAUUGCCACCUGAUAAAGGUCGCGCCGAGUGGGGCCGUGAUGCCACUGAUUCUAAUGUUGGCCUAGUGGACCGUGAUUGAGAGCAAUGAUUGAUUUGCUAGAAUGACAUGUAAUCGGCCGAGUCGAUUGAUCGCUGAGACGAUCCAAGUGGUUGAAUUGUUUUGAUAAUGUGAUUGAGCCAUGGUUGUUUGGUUAUCAUAAUUGUACGUGGUUGAAUUAUAUAAAUUGUGCUAACUUGCAGAUGAAGGCUGAGGCGAGGUAAGUCUUCUAUGUGAUGUGGCUAGGCCACCCUUGGGCGUAUUUUCUUUCUAAUAGGGGUUUAGGGGGUUGAACUUGCUGAGACGUUGUCUCAGUGGUUAUUGAAUAACCAUUUCAGGUCCCCGGUGAACGGAGCGGCUAGAUAGCUUUGGUUGGCAUUGAGGAGUUGCAGAGGUGAAGUCAUAAGAUUGGAGAACGUGUCCGACUUGUAGGUUGUAGGACAAUUCUUUUUUAAGAGCCGGUCUUUUGUAGACUUUUGGCUGUAGACCUCUGUUUGUAAUUCUGUUGAUUUAUGGAAGUGUUAUGUUGUGAUUUUGCUUCCUGCUUUUCUAUCCCGUAUUUUAUUGUCAGGGGAUUUGUUUCGCUUCCGCAUGCGUAAAUAAAUGAAUGGGUCGGUGACAUAUCCUAGGAUGUCGCAUUUUUGAUCGACCGCAG